GCGGCACCCGCGUAGUGCCGAGUUCCACCAUCCCGCUCCUCCUGCCCGGGUCUCCUCCCCGCAGGCCCGUUCGCCGCUUGCCGGCGGGAGGGUCGCGUUUCCUCGUCGGCCGCCGGCGGUGGUGCAGCCCCUCCUCGCCGGGGAUGCCCCGCUGACCGCGGGUUCUGUGCCCGCUCCCGCCUGACCCCCGGGGUUCCUCUGGAGCGCCCCGCGUCUCUCACAGUGCUGCCGGAGGCGCUCCCGACCCUCGGACACCUGCGGCCGCGGUGUGUCCUGAACAGCGCUCCAGGGGGCCGCUGGAGAGGCGAAUCCGCUGUUUUACAUAGCGGGGCCUCUGUAUUUCAGAGUGUCACGUAACAACUGAAAACUUUCAUGUGAAAACAGAAAAUGGCUUCAAGAGGAACAACAGAGACCAGCAAACUAAAACAAAACUUGGAGGAGCAGUUGGACAGAUUAAUGCAGCAGCUUCAAGAUCUGGAAGAAUGCAGAGAGGAGCUGGAUGCAGAUGAGUAUGAGGAGACCAAAAAAGAAACUCUGGAGCAGCUGAGUGAGUUCAAUGACUCCCUGAAGAAGAUCAUGUCUGGAGAUAUGACUUUGGUGGAUGAGCUCAGUGGGAUGCAACUGGCCAUACAAGCAGCCAUCAGCCAAGCAUUUAAAACCCCAGAAGUGAUUAGAAUGUUUGCAAAGAAGCAGCCGAGGCAGUUGAGGACGAGGUUGGCAGAGAUGGACCGAGACUUAAUGGUUGGGAAGUUGGCACGAGACCUGUACACCCAACAGAAAGUGGAAAUCCUGACUGCCCUCAGGAAGCUUGGUGAGAAGCUCACUGGGGAUGAUGAGAUGUUCUUGUCAGCAAAUGCUGGUACAGCCCUGAGCCAGUUUGAGAGAGUCUCCACUGACCUUGGAGAGGAAUGGCAGUGCUCACAUUGGAGUUUUUCUUUAGGAGUCCUGGAAAAUGUGCCACCUGGUCUUGCUGUGAGUUUGCUGCUUGAUAACGUUUAGGAUGAUGUUUUGAACGUGCCUCCAAAACUGGGUCAGUAAUAAUUGAGAUGUGCUGGAAACCAUCAGAUCCACCUGCAGAUCCCAUGGACAGAGGUGUGAUGUCUGGAACUAGCAGAGUUAAGAGGCCUCUUGAGCAUCUGUCCUGUCUUGUGAUGAUACAAGUGACUCGUGGCAAGAUGUCACUUUGCUUGGUAGCCC